UCCUCUCCUGGGAUUGAGAAGGUGGCAGUCCUCCCCUGGGGUCUGAGAAGGUGGGAGUCCUCCCCUGGGAUUGAGAAGGGGGAGUCCUCCCCGGGGGUCUGAGAAGGUGGUGUCCUCCCCUGGGAUUGAGAAGGUGGGGCCCUCCCCUGUGGUCUGAGAAGGUGGGGUCCUCCCCUGGGAUUGAGAAGGUGGGAGUCCUCCCCUGGGAUUGAAGAAGGUGGGGUCCUCCCCUGGGGUCUGAGAAGGUGGGAGUCUCCUCUGGGAUUGAGAAGGUGGAGUCCUCCCCUGGGGUCUGAGAAGGUGGGGUCCUCCCCUGGGAUUGAGAAGGUGGGGGUCCUCCCCUGGGAUUGAGAAGGUGGGAGUCCUCCCCUGGGAUUGAGAAGGUGGGGUCCUCCCCUGGGAUUGAGAAGGUGGCGUCCUCCCCUGGGAUUGAGAAGGUGGGAGUCCUCCCCUGGGAUUGAGAAGGUGGGAGUCCUCCCCUGGGAUUGAGAAGGUGGAGUCUGGAGUCUGAGAAGGUGGGAGUCCUCCUCUGGGAUUGAGAAGGUGGGGUCCUCCCCUGGGAUCUGAGAAGGUGGGGGUCCUCCCCUGGGAUUGAGAAGGUGGGAGUCUUCCCCUGGGAUUGAGAAGGUGGGAGUCCUCCCUUGGAAUUGAGAAGGUGGGGUCCUCCCCGGGGUCUGAGAAGGUGGCAUCCUCCCCUGGGAUUGAGAAGGUGGGGUCCUCCCCGGGGGUCUGAGAAGGUGGCAUCCUCCCCUGGGAUUGAGAAGGUGGGAGUCCUCCCCUUGGACUGAGAAGGUGGAGUCCUCCCCUGGGGUCUGAGAAGGUGGGGUCCUCCCCUGGGAUUGAGAAGUUGCAGGGUCUCAGGUGGCACCUGAAGAGCGGUGACAUCCGACCACCAGGCACUGGGUGAGGCUCCGAGUGCGUGGUGGGAAGGAGCCUACAGAAGGUGGCAGUGAACGCUCCAUCAGGCUGGGGUGACCAGCGUCACCCCACCGCCCCCUCCAGAGUCUGGGACCGAGUCCCACGCUCAUCCCCACCAUCGGAUCCCCAGUCAGCCCUCGCUGCCAGCUGGGCUUUCUCGCCGUGGUCAUGGGGCCGCUCACAGUGGACCAUGAAGAAACGGUACAGCUGCGGGGACAGCCCCCAGGGGGAAGCGGCCUCCCGGGCCCACCACCGACUUGCUCAGUGCCUCACUGCGCCCCCCCUGCUGUCCGGGCCCUGAAA
rnacentral:lncRNA from 1 species